ensembl:ncRNA lncRNA:CR44156 long non-coding RNA:CR44156
CGAAAUUUUUUUGAGACACAUUUGUCGAACAUCAAAUUCGAAAGCCAGCAGAUCGGUGGAUGGAUCGCAAGAAUGUACAACUCAAGCUCACAAGCCUCACUCCAGAACACGAGCCUCCAUCUACAAGUUCCGCCUGACCAACAUGAUCCAGGUCCCAGAAUGCUGCUUGAGGUCAUAUCCCUAGUCCUGGUCAUCACAACGUUAUUUUGCUGCUACUGUUGCGUCAGAUGAAUGGAUCUAAGCGAUCCGCUCAAUGAAGAAAAAUCUCCGAGAGAAAUGUGUUUUACCCAAUCCUACUUUUUGAUAUCCGUUAGGAAAGAUAGGAAAGAUAUUAGUCUUCAUUUUUCGAAUGGACCUUUUUUUAUGUAAACUUCAAGCCAAUAGUUACAAAUUGCAUAAAUAAGCACGUUACU